GACACACACUUUAUCCAUAGAGGUGGCGGGUUGGGGGACACAUGUUUAGGAUUGUGGCCAUUUUAAACUAAGGGGACGCCAAAUCAGAAACAAUCAUGCAGCUGAUCUACUUUGCAAUGUAGCCACACAAGCCUAACAAAAUAUUGUGCUACCGCCACAGUCGUUGUAUUCUGCACUGGUAAUUAACCUUGUCAAGUUGUUUUAAACAAGCCUCAUGCGUAUGUCUUAAGCAAAUGACAAAUUAAAUGUUCAGAUAUGAUUUUUAAAAAGC
rnacentral:lncRNA from 1 species